AAGAUCUUGAUAGGCUGAGUUGUUGGUGGAUGUCCGUGAUCCUCAGCAGGCCCUGUGAUUGGUGCAGGUCUCUCACAAGGCUGCAUUCCUGGAGGAUGUGACCGGUGCUGUACAUUAGGAAGGCUAUGUUGCUGGCGGAUGUCCGUGAUCCGCAGCAGGACCGGUGCAGGUCACUCGGAAGGCUGUGAGGCUGGCGGAUGUAUGUGAUCCUCAACAGGCCCUGUGUCUGGUGCAGGUCACUCGGAAGGCUGCGUAGUCUGCGGAUGUCCGUGAACCGCAACAGGACUGGUGCAGAUCACUUGAAGAGUGCGUUGCUUGCUGGUGUCCGUGACCCGCAGCAAGACUGGUGCAGGUCACUCGGAAGGCGGCAUGGCUGGCAGAUGUCCGUCAUUUGCAGCAGGCUCUGUGACUGGUGCAGUUCAUU